CCUCAAGGCGACUCACGUUGCCUCAACACGUCGCCAUCACGCCCAUUCCGGGGUCCGUUCGCGAGACCGGAGGCGGGAGCUGGCAUGCGAGGUGCCACCCGGGCCACGACUCGCGCCCGUUGGCUCGCCGUUGGCACGGCAACGGGAGGAAUGUUGGGGGAGGUUUCUGCUGAUUGAAGUGGUUUCUCAAAAGGUGUUUAGGCAGAAACUUUUUUUACCCCCCUUCUUACAAUGCGAAGGUGGACUCCCCCCCCCCCCCCCAUCGAUGCAUUUCCGAGGAUCACGCAAACGGAGGCGACGGUUCUGAGCUCUGAGAGGGGAACAUGUUCCACGUACAGUUGGUUUUGUAACGUUUUGCCCAGCCGGAACAGAAGGUGAAGGACCUCCUGUCAUCGCUCUGCAGAGUGGCAAACCUUGACAUUUGGAAUUACAGCAUCACCAAAACCUUCACAGCGAUCGAUUCUUUGCGGGGGGGGGGGGGGGUGUGAUACCAGGAAAUGCCAGAAUGCUUGUGAACCGGACCUGUACUGCUGAGAAGAAGGAUCCCCGUCUCUCCUUCAUCCCUGGAGUCACAGCGACCGCUCUCAGAGUGACCAGUGAACCUGUCGCUGUGUGAACACACAUCAAACCUGCGGCGGAACUCGACGGGCUCCACAAUUAAUCCAAUGUUCUCAGCGAUGGACUGCGUUCGCCUCGCAGAUGAAUAUACUGUAUAUCAAACCAGGCGCUUGCACAACAGCGUGCCGCUGAAGGGCGAAGGGGGACCCUCGUUUAAUUAAAAGACAUUUUCAUGCUGUGCCGCCUGGUUUGUCACAGUGAAACUCCUGGAACGCUCCCCAUUAGACAAAGAGGAGCUGGCCAACCCUGGACGUCCUGUCCAGGUUAAGCGUCUCGCCCAAGGACACGCUGACAUGCGGAGUAGCGGGGGCAGGGAUCGAAACCGUCGUGUCCAGAUCCACUCUGGACAGCGCAGAGUGGAUCUGCUGAGGGGACGGAGACUUCCUGUCUCUGUGGUGGCAUCAGCCAUCCUUUUACGGCUUGGUCUCCCCCCCCCCGGCAGAGGGACUGGACAGGCCGGUGAAGAAGGCCACAGAAUGGUGGCCACGCUAUUAUCCCUGAUGGCCCGGUGAGAUGUUUCCUGGACUGGUCAAGGCCAGAGAAGCAGUUAUUGAUUGGGGAACGAGUUCCAGGCAGCAGACAACUAGUGAAACCGGUCCUAAGAAAAAGGGAUCUUCAGCAAAUGGUUCUUUGGUGGAAGAAGCAGCGCUUCACAAAAAAACAAUACAAGCUUUUUAAUCUUUUCCCUUUUCCAACUGUUUAUGAGUAAAUUCAGAAUUCAGCUUAACAAGUUUAGCGUUCUCUCUUUCCAAAGCAGAUUUGUUUAAUGAGGCAAUUCAAGGCCUUGAAUAAUUAUCUAUACUUAACCAAGUACUGUCACACUAAAUUAGCUUUAGUGCUAAAGCUGUCGAGUGUCUGUAUGCAAAAGGCUCUCAAAAGAAAAGAGAACGUUACAGUCAGACCUGCGUCUGUUAACAGUAACACCGUCAAAGAAAACUUUUCACCUCGGUUCCAACUAGCAAUUAUUUUUGAUUAUUGUAAUUGGAGAAUGUGGCUCAGUAGUCCCGCCCCCCUCCCUCAGACCAAUUUUCGGUACAGAACGCAGGCAAUGCGAUGGACACCAUAGAUAUUAUAUAUAAAAGGCUAGAUGUCUCGUCCAACGGAGUCGACCGUCCGCGCGCGGCGGCCAUCUUGGGAGGGGGAGCUCCUUUAAAGUGACGUAACUGGAGUUUAUUGAAACUUUGUUGUUGUUGUUGUUGUUGAACCCAGCUGGGAUGUAGACAAGCAGUGCUCUAAACCAAUCACAGUCGUCUGUGUUAAGCGGAGGAUGUAGCGACAGACCUGCUGAUGAUGCUUUAUUCUCUAGUUCACUCUGUCAUAGUCAGAACUAAAUGAGGAUUUAAACAAACAUUUUUAUUGGUACUCCUCAUGAGCAAUGUGAAAAAUGGUGAUAUUCUACUUUAGGUCAAUACAGUCGCCUGACGGUAUUGGGGUUUCUUUUUAAAAUAAAGGCCACCGUUGUCGUCGUCACCAUCAAGCCAAUCUUCCCCUAAACCCGAUGAAUUCCCAUUUCACGUGAAGGGCGCGAAAUCUAAGCGAGCAUCUUAAGAAGAAGCCAUGAACUGCAUGUGAAGAGAAGCCACGAUGGGAGCGCAAUCUCCCGCUGGAGCCAGAGUGGAGUGAACCAGCUGAGAUGAUGGGACGCUUUGAGCUCUGCCUGCUGAGUCUGAUGAAGCUCAGAGGCUGUGGGCCCGGCAGCAUCGUCAGUGAUGGCAUCCUCCUCAGCCUCCAAUCAAAUACAGUCUGAGGAGAGCAGCUUCCCGCCCACUGAGAAAGUACCAAACACGAGCUCGCCGGGUGUUUUUAGAGGGACAACGAUGGGCAGCGCCUCGGCUACAGAAGACUCCGGUUACAGAGUCAGAAGCUGCGAACAAACGAGCUACAAGGUACCAGUUCACAUUACAGCGUCGCGUUACACCUACAGGGCAAAGCUAUGCGUGGGUUUGUCUUUCUACGGCUCCCAGGCAAGAAGCGGGUGCACAGACCCCAACGCACACUGAGAACACACACUUCAUUUCAGUGAAAGCGUUUAAAGUCGCAUGUUUUAAACGCCAUAUGAGGCGCAUCCGGAAAGUAUUCACAGCGCUUCACUUUUUCCACUUUUUGUUAUGUUACAGCCUUUUUCCAAAAUGGAUUAAAUUCAUUAUUUCCCUCAACAUUCUACACACAACAAGCCAUAAUGACAAAGUGAAAACUGUUUUUUGCUAAUUUUUGCAAGUCCGUUAAAAAUAAAGAACGAAACUAUGUGCUACUAUGAAAAUAUACAUAUUUGAUUGGUUGAAUGGCAUCACAUGAGGUGAUAUAAAACGCAUGAGAUGGACCUAACGGUACAGAAGAGGCCUCUAGGUCAGAAAGAGAAAAGUAAUUAUCUCAUAGAAUUCCAUACAAUUGGACAAUUGCAAGCAGAUGAGUCGCCCCCCCACAGCUGGUCAAUGCAGAGAAUGCAAUGGGGGUGUGUGUAUUGUCUCUUACCAUCUCCAGCCUUCAUCCACCACUGACCUCCUCCUCGCCAUCACAUCCCUCUUUUCUCAAACUGUCUCUCCAUGCUUUCCGCUGCCGCUCGCUCUUCCAUCAUUGGUCUAAUUGUUUUCUCUCUCUGCGCACACUGCCUCUUAAACGCUGGUACAAAGCAAUUGGAUGUGGCCAGCUUAAUUGCAACUGGGUUGCGUUAUAAUAUUUUCCGUCAACCUGAAGAAUUACAUUAUCUAUCUCACAACCACUCACUGUUUUUCUCAGGGAGCAGAAAAAGCGGAGAUGGAAACCAAAUUCAAUAAAACAAGCUUUUAGCCUCCACUCUUCACCAUUAUUACCAGUAUUUGCCAUUUUACCACUUCCUGUAAACACCCCUACACGCCGCUUUAUUUACGCUCACAUCCAACCAUGGACUGAGAUCCCCAUCAUUUUCCAUUUACAAUUCUCCAGUGAAAUGGCAAAGUUCCAAAGUACUUUCUACUUGCAUCUAAAGAAGGACUUGUUUCUGUUCCGGUCUUGUUGGACCUCAGUGACACCAUCAAUCACUGCAUCAUAGAGUAUUUUACUAGAACAUUUAACUGGUAUUAAAGGAAACUCAGUGAGCUGGUUUAAGUUGUAUUUAUU
ensembl:lncRNA